rnacentral:rRNA from 1 species
UAACAAGGAUUCCCCUAGUAACGGCGAGUGAAGCGGGAAGAGCUCAAAUUUGAAAGCUGGCGCCUUCGGUGUCCGCAUUGUAAUCUAGAGAGGUGUUUUCCGCGCCGGACCGCGUACAAGUUCCUUGGAACAGGACGUCAUAGAGGGUGAGAAUCCCGUACUUGACGCGGACGCCCGGUGCUUUGUGAUACACCCUCCACGAGUCGAGUUGUUUGGGAAUGCAGCUCAAAAUGGGUGGUAAAUUCCAUCUAAAGCUAAAUAUUGGGGAGAGACCGAUAGCGAACAAGUACCGUGAGGGAAAGAUGAAAAGCACUUUGGAAAGAGAGUUAAACAGUACGUGAAAUUGUCGAAAGGGAAGCGCUUGAAGUCAGACAUGCUUGCUAGGACUCAGCCUUGCUUUUGCUUGGUGCAUUUCCUGGUGAGCAGGCCAGCAUCGGUUUUGUCCGCCGGAUAAGGGUAGGAGGAACGUGGCACCUCCGGGUGUGUUAUAGCCUCCUACUGGAUACGGCGGAUGGGACCGAGGAACGCAGUGUGCCCUUGUGGCGGGCCUUCGGGUACCUUCGCACUUAGGAUGCUGGCGUAA